AAAAAAAAACAGAACAGGCGCUAGGGUUGGUGAGCUCGAUCCCCAACCGAGCCGCCGCCGGAUCCUCCGCCCAGCCGCCGCAGAAUCCUCCACCCAGCCACCUAGCGUUUCUAUUUAUUGAUGAAUAGCAUGUGGAAAAGGUGAUUGUGUCAACUCAACAAAUACCAAAGAAAGGCCAGCCAACCCAGCAAGAGGAAAAAGCUGCUCUUAGUCUUCAGCAGAACAGGGAGGACACUGUUGCAGAUAAAAAUCUGCAUAAGAAGCAAAGGAAAUUUCAAACCCCUCUUCCAAAGGUGCUAUAUGUUCUUUUUCUAAAUGAUCAGAAUUCUCAUGCAAGUAGAGAGUCUUAAGCUUAAGAGUUAUUUGUUUUUUUGGGUGGAUUGACUGUUUUCAAGCAUGGUUUGGAGGUUGGUUUGAUUUCCCCACAGAGCACUAGUAUGGUGGCAUUUGCAACUAUUCAAGCAACUGAUAGCAAAUCUAAGGCAACAGAUGGUCAAUCCCUUAGUGAUUGCGCUGAGGUCCUUAUCAACACUGUGUUUUCUAAAACCACCUUGCUACCCCGCUCACAAGGAAAUAUUAGCAAGCUUUCAAACCCAGUUGGAAGAUGCAUUCAAUGGCCACAAAAGAAUGUAAGAUUUGUAGAAAUUACUAUUUCUUUGCAAAAUUUACGCAUAAUAGCAGCUUAUGUUAAGCUUUUUUUCUAACCAUAUUGUCGAUUGAGCCACUCCAUGAUGGUAGUGGUGAUAGGCCUCCUCCAAAGGUAUCUGUCAAUGGAGCAAUCAAGGAAAAUUUUAGCAAGAGAAGGAAGGUGAAAAAUAGCAGCUCAAUCACCUCGCCUGCAAUUUGCACAUAACAACUCUGGUGUUGACAGCAAGAUAAGUAAGUAAGAAUCUGAACUGAACUUGCUUGAGCCUCUAUGUAAUCCUGCAUAAACAACUUUGCACUCACAAAUUGUUUAGACUAAUUCUGUUUUGUAAUCUGGUGCAAGAACAUCUUUGGUUGUACUACUCAUCAAUGUUAAGGUUCCGUUGAUUCAUCACCUCUACCAUUGCUGUUAAUCUAUUAUGCAAAAACUUGUGAAUCUGCCACUUAGCUUAGAACAUGAGCAUGACAAAUGUGAAGAUUCUUUUAUGUCUAAGUAAAUUUGGUUGUA